AGCAGUGUAGCUUAAUGGAAAGAGCACGGGCCUGGGAUUCAGAGAACCUAGGUUCUAAACCUGGCUCUGCUU
rnacentral:tRNA from 1 species